rnacentral:lncRNA from 1 species
UGCGCGUCGUAGGGCACGCCCAGUUCGGCGGCAAAGCGCGCCAGGCGCUCGUCCUGUUCGGACGUGCGGCGUGCCUGACCGCACAGGCCGACAGCCGCCGACACCUGUGGUCGCACCGACGGCGCUGGACGCUUGACGCCUCUCCGCAUGCUUGUUCUAGGUCGUUCCAUCGUCGGCGUUGGCUCUUUUCUUUUCCUUUUGUUUUUUUUUGAUGUCACCAGAGGCAGGUCGAGACCGACUGAUCGAGGACGACGAACGUGUAUGGGUGCGGCGAGACUUUUGUACAGUGUAUGACCCAAUUUGGUGGCACGCUCACACCAGUGGCAAACAACCUACUCGCUCAAUCGCCCGCCUGUGUGUCCGACAUCCCGUCAAAGAAAUUGAAAGUCUACGAAAGAGACACAGGGAGAGAGCGCGCGAGCAAAGCGAGGUGGCAAAGGGCAAUGCCAAAUUUAUUUGUUGGAGUGAAUGACCUCAAAGAAAAGGCCUGCGAGGC